rnacentral:rRNA from 1 species
UCAAGAUAGUAAGGGCGUACGGGGGAUGCCUAGGCGCUGACAGGCGAAGAAGGACGCGGCAAGCGGCGAAACGCCACGGGGAGCUGCAAGCGAGCGUAGAUCCGUGGAUCUCCGAAUGGGGGAACCCGGCAGAGGAGAACCUCUGUCAUCCCUGCCUGAAUGCAUAGGGCAGGAGAGGCGAGACCCGGCGAACUGAAACAUCUUAGUAGCCGGAGGAGAAGAAAUCAAGAGAGAUUUCCUUAGUAGCGGCGAGCGAACGGGAAGGAGCCCAAACCGGUCAUGUGUAAGCCUGCAAGCGUUGCAUGAUCGGGGUUGAGGGGCCCCUGGGGUACAGUUGCAGAUGUACCAAAGAGUUAGAAAUUAUCUGGUUAGGCGAAUGGACUGGAAAGUCCAGCCGCAGAGAGUGAGAGCCUCGUAGCCGAAAGCCAGAUAACUCUUCAGGGGAACCCCGAGUACCGCCGGACACGUGGAACCCGGUGGGAAGCAGGGAGGACCACCUUCCAAGGCUAAAUACUAGUCAGCGACCGAUAGAGGAGAGUACCGUGAGGGAAAGGUGAAAAGCACCCCGGGAGGGGAGUGAAAGAGAACCUGAAACCGUAUGCCUACAAGCAGUCGGAGCACGAUUGAAAGCGUGUGACGGCGUACCUUUUGUAGAAUGGGCCAGCGAGUUACGACAGCAAGCGAGGUUAAGUCUGAAAGGGACGGAGCCGAAGCGAAAGCGAGUCUGAAAGGGCGUGUAGUUUGUUGUUGUAGACCCGAAACCGGGUGACCUAUCCAUGGCCAGGGUGAAGUUUUGGUAGCACAAAAUGGAGGCCCGAACCAGAGUGCGUUAAAAAGCGCGUGGAUGAGCUGUGGAUAGCGGUGAAAAGCCAAUCGAACUCGGAGAUAGCUGGUUCUCCCCGAAAUAGCUUUAGGGCUAGCGUCAAGAGUUUCCUUAUGGGGGUAGAGCACUGGUUAGGCUAGGGGCCUUCACCGGUUACCGAACCAUCCCAAACUGCGAAUACCAUAAGGUAAAUCUUGGCAGUCAGACAAUGGGUGACAAGGUCCGUUGUCGAGAGGGAAACAGCCCAGACCAACAGCUAAGGUCCCAAAAUCUAUGCUAAGUGGGAAAGGAGGUAGAGCCGCCCAGACAGCCAGGAUGUUGGCUUAGAAGCAGCCAUCAUUUAAAGAAUGCGUAAUAGCUCACUGGUCAAGUGGCUCUGCGCCGAAAAUGUAACGGGGCUAAGCAUAGUACCGAAGCUUUGGAUACGGAGGACGGAUGACAGAGGACAGAAGACGGAGGGUUUUUCAAUGGCAAUUAAAAGCUAUGAAGAUCUGGUAGUCUAUCAAGAAAGUUAUAGACUUGCCUUGGAGAUGCACCAGAUAUGCUUGCGAUUACCAAAGGAAGAAAAGUAUGAGCUAGUUCCUCAGAUAAGGAGAGCAGCCAUAUCAAUACCCGCCAACAUAGCCGAAGGUUAUGGAAGAAGGAAUUCUGAAAAAGAAUUCAAGCAUUUCUUAAGAAAUGCCAUGGGUUCAACGAAUGAAGUCAAGGUAUAUAUUGAUAUGAUAAAAGACCUUGGAUAUAUCGAGCAAGAGACCCAUAAGCAACUGAAAGCAAGAUAUGAAACAGUCAACAAGCAGAUAUACCGACUCAUUCAGAAAUGGACUAAAUACGAAACAGAAAGAUCCGACUUCUGACUUCCGUCAUCCGACUUCCGUAUGGUAGGGGAGCGUUCCUAUCGGGCAGAAGCUAUACCGAAAGGAGUAGUGGACUGAUAGGAAGUGAGAAUGCUGGCAUAAGUAAGCGAGAAGGCAGGUGAGAAUCCUGCCCGCCGGAAGCCUAAGGAUUCCUGGGGAAGGCUCGUCCGCCCAGGGUAAGCCGGGACCUAACCCGAGGCCGGAAGGCGUAGGGGAUGGAUAACUGGUUGAGAUUCCAGUGCCACCUACAAACCGAUUGAGCGAGGGGGUGACGCAGGAGGAUAGGUGAAGCGUGCGGAUGGAAGAGCACGUCCAAGCACUUAGGAGGCAGAGUAGGCAAAUCCGCUCUGUGGGAACUCUGAGGUGUGAAGGGGAGGGAAGCGUAGUACCGAAGUCACUGAUUCCAGACUGCCAAGAAAAGCCUCUAGCGAGGUUUGGGGUGCCCGUACCGCAAACCGACACAGGUAGGCAAGGAGAGAAUCCUAAGGCGCGCGAGAGAACCCUCGUUAAGGAACUCGGCAAAAUGACCCCGUAACUUCGGGAGAAGGGGUGCUCCGUUAUCGUUAGGAAACGAAGCGAGAGGGAGCCGCAGAGAACAGGCCCAGGCGACUGUUUACCAAAAACACAGGUCUCUGCGAAAUCGAAAGAUGAAGUAUAGAGGCUGACGCCUGCCCGGUGCCGGAAGGUUAAGGGGAAAGGUUAGCGGGAGACUGCGAAGCUUUGAACCGAAGCCCCGGUGAACGGCGGCCGUAACUAUAACGGUCCUAAGGUAGCGAAAUUCCUUGUCUGGUAAGUUCAGACCCGCACGAAAGGCGUAACGAUCUGGGCACUGUCUCGACGAGGGGCUCGGUGAAAUUGUAGUACCGGUGAAGAUGCCGGUUACCUGCGAUAGGACAGAAAGACCCCGUGGAGCUUUACUGCAGCCUGAUAUUGGAUUUUGGUAGUUUAUGUACAGGAUAGGUGGGAGGCUAAGAAGGCAGGUCGCCAGGCUUGCUGGAGCCAUCGGUGGGAUACCACUCUUAAAUUGCUGGAGUUCUAACCUAGGUCCGUGAACCGGAUCAGGGACAGUUUCAGGCGGGCAGUUUGACUGGGGCGGUCGCCUCCUAAAGGGUAACGGAGGCGCCCAAAGGUUUCCUCAGCGCGGAUGGAAAUCGCGCGAAGAGUGUAAAGGCAUAAGGGAGCUUGACUGCGAGAGAGACAUUUCGAGCAGGGACGAAAGUCGGGCUUAGUGAUCCGGCGGUACCGAGUGGAAGGGCCGUCGCUCAUCGGAUAAAAGCUACCCCGGGGAUAACAGGCUUAUCUCCCCCAAGAGUUCACAUCGACGGGGAGGUUUGGCACCUCGAUGUCGGCUCAUCACAUCCUGGGGCUGGAGAAGGUCCCAAGGGUUGGGCUGUUCGCCCAUUAAAGUGGUACGUGAGCUGGGUUCAGAACGUCGUGAGACAGUUCGGUCCCUAUCCAUCGCAGGCGCAGGAGAAUUGAGAGGAUCUGUCCCUAGUACGAGAGGACCGGGAUGGACAGACCGCUGGUGUACCAGUUGUCUCGCCAGGGGCACAGCUGGGUAGCUAUGUCUGGAGAGGAUAAGCGCUGAAAGCAUCUAAGCGCGAAGCCGACCUCAAGAUGAGUUCUCCCACUCCGAUAAGGAGGUAAGAUCCCAUCAAGACUAGGUGGUAGAUAGGCCAGGAGUGUAAGUGCAGCGAUGCAUUAAGCAGACUGGUACUAAUAGAUCGAGGUCUUGACCUU